GAUCCUGGCUCAGGACGAACGCUGGCGGCGUGCCUAACACAUGCAAGCCGAACGGAACUGUUUUGAAAGAUUUCUUCGGAAUGAAUUUGAUUUAGUUUAGUGGCGGACGGGUGAGUAACGCGUGAGUAACCCUGCCUUCAAGAGGGGGAUAACAUUCUGAAAAGAAUGCUAAUACCGCAUGAUAUAUCGGAACCACAUGGUUUUGAUAUCAAAGAUUUUAUCGCUUGAAGAUGGACUCGCGUCCGAUUAG
rnacentral:rRNA from 1 species